rnacentral:rRNA from 2 species
GACGAACGCUGGCGGCGUGCCUAAUACAUGCAAGUCGAGCGGAUUGAUGGGAGCUUGCUCCCAUCAAUCAGCGGCGGACGGGUGAGUAACACGUGGGUAACCUGCCUGUAAGACUGGGAUAACUCCGGGAAACCGGGGCUAAUACCGGAUAACUCAUUUCCUCGCAUGAGGAAAUGUUGAAAGGUGGCUUUUAGCUAUCACUUACAGAUGGACCCGCGGCGCAUUAGCUAGUUGGUGAGGUAACGGCUCACCAAGGCGACGAUGCGUAGCCGACCUGAGAGGGUGAUCGGCCACACUGGGACUGAGACACGGCCCAGACUCCUACGGGAGGCAGCAGUAGGGAAUCUUCCGCAAUGGACGAAAGUCUGACGGAGCAACGCCGCGUGAGUGAUGAAGGUUUUCGGAUCGUAAAACUCUGUUGUUAGGGAAGAACAAGUACCGUUCGAAUAGGGCGGUACCUGACGGUACCUAAC